rfam:Xenopus tropicalis strain Nigerian Chr08_contig_1455, whole genome shotgun sequence.
GCUCCUCUGUGGGUGGGGAUUUGUUGCACUACUGUAUGUAUGAAAAGUAUUGCACUUGUCCCGGCCUGUGGGUGAAAG